rnacentral:rRNA from 1 species
AUUGAACGCUGGCGGCAUGCUUUACACAUGCAAGUCGAACGGCAGCGCGGGCUUCGGCCUGGCGGCGAGUGGCGAACGGGUGAGUAAUACAUCGGAACGUGCCCAGUAGUGGGGGAUAGCUCGGCGAAAGCCGGAUUAAUACCGCAUACGACCUGAGGGUGAAAGCGGGGGAUCUUCGGACCUCGCGCUAUUUGAGCGGCCGAUGGCAGAUUAGCUAGUUGGUGGGGUAAAGGCCUACCAAGGCGACGAUCUGUAGCUGGUCUGAGAGGACGACCAGCCACACUGGGACUGAGACACGGCCCAGACUCCUACGGGAGGCAGCAGUGGGGAAUUUUAGACAAUGGGCGGAAGCCUGAUCCAGCAAUGCCGCGUGUGUGAUGAAGGCCUUCGGGUUGUAAAGCACUUUUGGCGGGAACGAAAAGGACUGUGCCAAUACCACGGUUCGAUGACGGUACCCGCAGAAUAAGCACCGGCUAACUACGUG